GACGAACGCUGGCGGCGUGCCUAAUACAUGCAAGUAGAACGCUGAAGAGAGGAGCUUGCUCUUCUUGGAUGAGUUGCGAACGGGUGAGUAACGCGUAGGUAACCUGCCUUGUAGCGGGGGAUAACUAUUGGAAACGAUAGCUAAUACCGCAUAACAAUGGAUGACACAUGUCAUUUAUUUGAAAGGGGCAAUUGCUCCACUACAAGAUGGACCUGCGUUGUAUUAGCUAGUAGGUGAGGUAAUGGCUCACCUAGGCGACGAUACAUAGCCGACCUGAGAGGGUGAUCGGCCACACUGGGACUGAGACACGGCCCAGACUCCUACGGGAGGCAGCAGUAGGGAAUCUUCGGCAAUGGGGGCAACCCUGACCGAGCAACGCCGCGUGAGUGAAGAAGGGUUUCGGAUCGGAAAGCUCUGUUGUAAGUCAAGAACGGGUGUGAGAGUGGAAAGUUCACACUGUGACGGUAGCUUACCAGAAAGGGACGGCUAACUACGUG
rnacentral:rRNA from 1 species